UGCACAGAGUCUAGGUAAUCUUAUGGA
rnacentral:piRNA from 1 species